CUGGUUCCGCCAGGAGCACGUCUGUCUGAGCGUUUGCUUUACUGUGUACCACCAGUGUACUGGUUGCGUACGUUGUGAGGAGUUGUCCGACCGGCCCGACCGGCUAGGACAUCCCUUGAAGUGAUGUGCCCCUUCUGACGACGGGAGCGAGUACACAGAUGCGGUACGUGCACUCGGCGUCUGCAGGGGUCGACGUGGCCUAACGUGUCACCUAACUGAACCUCAGAUCAGGCGAGAUCACCCGCUGAAUUUAAGCAUAUCAAUAAGCGGAGGAAAAGAAACUAACAAGGAUUCCCUUAGUAACGGCGAGCGAAGUGGGAAGAGCUCGAGCCUGUAAUCCCUGGCAGUCACUGUCAGGGAAUUGUGGCCGGGAGAGGCGACUAGGCACUGUCCGACGCUGUCGAAGUUGACCUGGAAAGGCACGUCAUAGAGGGUGAGAGCCCCGUGUGCGACACCGUCGAGCAAGGCCGCUAUUGCCUUCAGAGAGUCGGGUUGUUUGGGAAUGCAGCCCAAAGUGGGUGGUAAACUCCAUCUAAAGCUAAAUAUCUGCACGAGACCGAUAGCAAACAAGU
rnacentral:rRNA from 4 species